AUUGAACGCUGGCGGCAGGCCUAACACAUGCAAGUCGAGCGGAUGAAGGGAGCUUGCUCCUGGAUUCAGCGGCGGACGGGUGAGUAAUGCCUAGGAAUCUGCCUGGUAGUGGGGGAUAACGUCCGGAAACGGGCGCUAAUACCGCAUACGUCCUGAGGGAGAAAGUGGGGGAUCUUCGGACCUCACGCUAUCAGAUGAGCCUAGGUCGGAUUAGCUAGUUGGUGGGGUAAAGGCCUACCAAGGCGACGAUCCGUAACUGGUCUGAGAGGAUGAUCAGUCACACGGGAACUGAGACACGGUCCAGACUCCUGCGGGAGGGAGCAGUGGGGAAUAUUGGACAAUGGGCGAAAGCCUGAUCCAGCCGUGCCGCGUGUGUGAAGAAGGUCUUCGGAUUGUAAAGCACUUUAAGUUGGGAGGAAGGGCAGUAAGUUAAUACCUUGCUGUUUUGACGGUACCAACAGAAGAAGCACCGGCUAACUUCGUG
rnacentral:rRNA from 1 species